UACGGGGGGGGCAAGCGUUGUUCGGAAUUACUGGGCGUAAAGGGCUCGUAGGCGGCCAACUAAGUCGGAUGUGAAUCCCCAGACUUAACUUGGGAACUGCAUCCGAUACUGGAUGGCUUGAAUCCGGGAGAGGGAUGCGGAAUUCCACAAGUAGCGGUGAAUGCGUAGAUAUGUGGAAGAACACCAGUGGCGAAGGCGGUUUCUAGUUUAUACCGUGACGCUGAGGCGCGAAAGCAAGGGGAGCAAACAGG
rnacentral:rRNA from 1 species